rnacentral:rRNA from 1 species
CAAUGCCGCGUGAGUGAAGAAGGCCUUCGGGUUGUAAAGCUCUUUUGUCAGGGAAGAAACGGUGAGGGCUAAUAUCCCUUGCUAAUGACGGUACCUGAAGAAUAAGCACCGGCUAACUACGUGCCAGCAGCCGCGGUAAUACGUAGGGUGCAAGCGUUAAUCGGAAUUACUGGGCGUAAAGCGUGCGCAGGCGGUUUUGUAAGUCUGUCGUGAAAUCCCCGGGCUCAACCUGGGAAUUGCGAUGGAGACUGCAAGGCUAGAAUCUGGCAGAGGGGGUAGAAUUCCACGUGUAGCAGUGAAAUGCGUAGAGAUGUGGAGGAACACCGAUGGCGAAGGCAGCCCCCUGGGUCAAGAUUGACGCUCAUGCACGAAAGCGUGGGGAGCAAACAGGAUUAGAUACCCUGGUAGUCCACGCCCUAAACGAUGUCUACUAGUUGUCGGGUUUUAAUUAACUUGGUAACGCAGCUAACGCGUGAAGUAGACCGCCUGGGGAGUACGGUCGCAAGAUUA